rnacentral:rRNA from 1 species
AUUGAACGCUGGCGGCAGGCCUAACACAUGCAAGUCGAGCGGAGCGGCGGACGGGGGAGUAAUGCCUAGGAAUCUGCCUGGGAGUGGGGGAUAACGUCCGGAAACGGGCGCUAAUACCGCAUCCUAUCAGAUGAGCCUAGGUCGGAUUAGCUUGUUGGUGGGGUAAAGGCCUACCAGGGCGACGAUCCGUAACUGGUCUGAGAGGAUGAUCAGUCAAACUGGAACUGAGACACGGUCCCGACUCCCACGGGAGGCAGCAGUGGGGAAUAUUGGACAAUGGGCGAAAGCCUGAUCCAGCCAUGCCGCGUGGGUGAAGAAGGUCUUCGGAUUGUAAAGCACUUUAAGUUGGGAGGCGUUACCCGCAGAAGAAGCACCGGCUAACUCCGUGCCAGCCGCCGCGGUAAUUC